CCUANGGGUGGCAGCAGUCGAGAAUUUUUCACAAUGGGGGAAACCCUGAUGGAGCGACGCCGCGUGGGGGAUGAAUGGCUUCGGCCCGUAAACCCCUGUCAUUUGCGAAUAAACCUUUUCACCUAACACGUGGAAAGCUGAUUGUAGCGAAAGAGGAAGGGACGGCUAACUCUGUGCCAGCAGCCGCGGUAAUACAGAGGUCCCAAGCGUUGUUCGGAUUCACUGGGCGUAAAGGGUGCGUAGGCGGUCGGGUAAGUCUGACGUGAAAUCUUCAAGCUCAACUUGGAAACUGCGUCGGAUACUAUUUGGCUAGAGGAAUGGAGGGGAGACUGGAAUACUUGGUGUAGCAGUGAAAUGCGUAGAUAUCAAGUGGAACACCAGUGGCGAAGGCGAGUCUCUGGACAUUUCCUGACGCUGAGGCACGAAAGCCAGGGGAGCAAACGGGAUUAGAUACCCUANUANUC
rnacentral:rRNA from 1 species